rnacentral:rRNA from 1 species
CCUACGGGAUGCAGCAGUGAGGAAUAUUGGUCAAUGGGCUUACGCCUGAACCAGCCAAGUCGCGUGAGGGAAGACUGCCCUAUGGGUUGUAAACCUCUUUUGUCAGGGAGCAAUUGGCGCUACGUGUAGCGUUAUCGAGAGUACCUGAAGAAAAAGCAUCGGCUAACUCCGUGCCAGCAGCCGCGGUAAUACGUAGGGGGCAAGCGUUAUCCGGAUUUACUGGGUGUAAAGGGAGCGUAGGCGGGACUGCAAGUUGGGUGUCAAAUCUACCGGCUCAACCGGUAGCCGCACUCAAAACUGCAGUUCUUGAGUGAAGUAGAGGCAGGCGGAAUUCCUAGUGUAGCGGUGAAAUGCGUAGAUAUUAGGAGGAACACCAGUGGCGAAGGCGGCCUGCUGGGCUUUUACUGACGCUGAGGCUCGAAAGUGUGGGGAGCAAACAGGAUUAGAUACCCGAGUAGUC